GUGAUGUCCUACAGACAAGUUGGGAAUUUUACAUUGGAAUGUCCCUCCAACUGAAAAUGACAAUUCGUUUCUAAACAGAACAUUGUUUAAAAAGGUGUCACAUUCUGCUGAACUGUAUUUUAAAUCAUAUAUUGAAAGCAAGGAUUUCCAACUUUCCAUUUCAAAGUAGUUUUCUGAAAAUCAGACUUAGGGCAAAAUAACCCACUUUUUCCCAGGGGAUCAUUGCAACUGAAUUGAUUUUUUCCUAAGUUAUUUGUUUUAAAUUGUUGUUAUGUCAUUCUCUUGCAGAAUGAAAAACAUUCCAGCAAUAUGAAGAAUCACAGAGAACGUGAAGUAACAUCGCAAUAGGAAAAACUGUUAUUUUCUUCUAGUCCUCCCUACUUCAGAAUUACUACAGCUAUUUCACCUACCACAGUUUUCAGAUUAGUCUGACCUGUCCUAUCAGUCUCAUCGUUGAAUCAGCACAGUGGGCAACCACCCUGUGUCAACAUCAUGUGUGCAGUGUAGGGGAAGGCUGGAAGAUGAGAUCUGUACAAGAGCACUGAGGAGGAGCAUAGAGGUGAAAUAUGGACUGUUGCUGAAUGUAGAAAUUGCAAAUUGGGUUUGCUCAAAAAAAAAAUCAUAGCCUGACUUUGAAAUU
rnacentral:lncRNA from 1 species